rnacentral:rRNA from 1 species
AUGGCUAGGGUUUCGGGCUGGGCUUCGCCGGCGCGUCUCCGGCGGCCCCAGGUUCGUCCCUCCUUCCUUCUUGGCUGGGGUUUUUCACCCCUACACCUCACCAUCUCUUCAUAUCCUCUACUGCAGAUGCAGGUGGAGCACGCCAUGGGAGUUCCCCAUCCACCACGGUCUCCGCCGUCAAGUGCUUCUUCACGGAGAUGUGAAGGACGCCAAGGACCUGCAGCUACUCAAGGUUUUAUCUUGUCCCCAUCCUAUCCCCUCCCCUUGCCGCCCCUUCUUCAUUGGAUGACCAGAUGCACAACCACAUAUGUUUUUUGA